CGAAAAAGAAAAAAAAAAAAAAACACUUUACUGCCUCGAUUCAGCCCCAACCGAAAUAAUAGGAACUCACAUACUACCUCAUUUCAGUAGGAUUCAAGGCAAAAAGUCUGUCGAAAAAAAUAAUAAAAAAGGAAAAACUAUUGUUCCGGUUACCUAUGAACCGAGGUAAAAUCCUAUCACUAAUUGUAUCGGUUCACAAUCGAGGCAAAAAACAUAUCUCUUUUUAUCUCGUCUGUAUAUACCUCAGUUGCCGAACUGCUAUCUAGAGAUGAAAAUAACCACUGUUAUUUUU
rnacentral:lncRNA from 1 species